AACACUGUUAACCUGCGGUACCUGCGGAAGGAUCAUUACCGAGUUAUACAACUCCCAAACCCACUGUGAACCUUACCUCAGUUGCCUCGGCGGGAACGCCCCGGCCGCCUGCCCCCGCGCCGGCGCCGGACCCAGGCGCCCGCCGCAGGGACCCCAAACUCUCUUGCAUUACGCCCAGCGGGCGGAAUUUCUUCUCUGAGUUGCACAAGCAAAAACAAAUGAAUCAAAACUUUUAACAAC
rnacentral:misc_RNA from 1 species